GGACCAUCCCUGGUGUUACAGCCGAGAGAAAAGGCACUUGGGAAGUCUGCUAAACCCAGGAACAAAGGAUGGAAAAUAACAUAACAUCUGAGGUACUAAUGCUGCACCCACCUGUCUCCGGCCUCUGCAAGCCCCUCUCACUCCUACAGCUGGACCCGGACUGCCUGAGAACUCGAUUGUCUUUCAGUCAGGUAUCAUCUGCUGUCAGCAUGUUACUGUCUGUAUCUCUGAGGUCUACGGGCACCUGUCACCUUGGUGGAAGCAAUUAAUG